AGUACAUACCAGGAUGCACAAGAGGACGAGUCCUCAGCAGAGGAGCUCUCUUCUCAGCCUUGCCAGCAACAGUGUGCUCUUUGGGUCUUCUAUUUCACAUGCAGUGCAUCUAACAGGUCUGCACCUGGAGACUCCCACCUAAGAUGGGGGUUUAGAUGAGACCACUCUGGGAGGACACGCAGCCGAGUGUGGAGGCCCCGAGGAAGAUCAGCUCUGAAGACACAGGCAGGCAAAGGGCAGACCUCGAAGGAGAUGGAGGAGGAAUGACAGAGGGCAAGAAGAAUCAGGUUUACUGUCUGCCAGGCUGCCAAACCCCAACCCUCGCCACAUCCGCAGCCACCACGUAAAGUGACUGUUAGAACUUCAAACGAAGGAUCUGACCCCCGGAAAUGGCCUCAUGCUAGUUUUUUCCUAAACAGUCACCAGGAAAAUGACGGAAGGCAAAUCGAAACGCAUGCCCUGAAAGACUUAGAACAUAACCAUCACAUCUGGGGGACAAGAAGCCCACCCCAACUUAAUUUAAAAAGGAAACACAGCAGAUGUCAUCAGUUGGCAGGGAGGUGUCUUGAAGGAAAGAAGGAGGGGAAUGAGAGGGCUGUGGAUCACCAUGCAGCUUUACCUUAACACCUGCAUCUCCUCGGGGGAGCAUUGCAUCUCGUCCUGGAGGCGACGCCAGCGCAGACAAGCCCUCAGCUCCUGCUGCUCCCGGGCCUCAUAGGGGGCCAGCUGCUCAGCCACAGACACACAGACACACAUGCACAAAACACAGUCACUGUUGUGGUCCUGGUGCAAUGGCUCACUUUGUUUCAAUGGGGGACAAGAUAGCCUGCCCCUGCUCUCACCUUGCUUCCAUCAGAAACCUAAAGGCCACUGGAGCCUCUUAGUGCCUAAAACAAAAAACCAACCGUGCACGCUCGCUUGUGCUGCUGGCCGUGGAGCUGGGCCUGCUGUUUGGCGGAGGUCGCCUUGUUCUGGAACCCACCCAUCCCACCGACACACACCUGGUCUGGAGAGAGUGGGCUUCCCUUGGGACCAUUUCCACUUUGAUCUGUCCUCUUUUCCUGCUUUGUCUUUCUGCACAGGAUGGGGAAGGCCCCACCGUUCACCUCCGAUUUUCCCCAGCCCUCAAUUUUGUUAAGGACUGUUUCCAGCGGGGCCUGCUAAUGCAACCCAGAUGAUUCUGUGUGCACAUAACUAGAAGUGCUGCCUGGACUCACUCUGGGGGAGGGGAGGCCAUCACACUCUGCCCUACUGAGUCAGAACCAGCUGCCGUCCCAUGGUGUGCUCACUGGGCCACACGGCCCCGACCUCUGUGAGGGAAGGCAGCAGAGCACCCACUGGGGAGGGAAGACGUCUAUCCACGGGUGUUUCUGGAAAUCAAACUUUCCUGAUAAUUCGUUCAACAGAUAUUUACUGAGUCUCUGCUAGGCCAUGGGGACAUUACAGACAGGGCCUGGGGCAGCAGCCAGGGGAGGGAGAGAUGGGCAGGAACACUAACAUCAGAGAGCAGGUGACGGGAGAGGUGAAGGGAGAACCCAGAUGCCCCCUUGCCCACCAGGGCUUCCUGAGGAGGUGGUGGUGACAGCACUGAUCCUCAGGGAAGGAGGAGUCGGCCGGGGAGGAGGGAUUUCGGGAAGAGCACUUGCAAGGCACGUCGGGCCAGGAAGUGUGUGAUGUGCUUAGAGAAUGGCAAGGCAUAUGGUCAGGCCUGGAGCAGACUACCAUUCUGGGAGGGAGCAAGGUGCAGGGAAGCUGGCAGAGGCCAGACGAUCCUCAGACCCCAUGUGCCUGCUGUUAUGGACUAAACUGUGUCUCCACAAAAUAUAUGUGUUGAAGGCCUUACCCCGGUGUGACUGUAUUUGGAGAUAAGGCUUUCAAGGAGGUCAUUAAGGUUAAGUAAGUCAUGAGUGGGGCCCUAAUCCUACAGGGCUGGUGUUCUUAUAAGAAGAGGAAGAGCCAACAGAGCGUACUUUCUCUCUGCAUGCACAGAGGAAAGGCCAUAUGAGAACGCAGAGAAAAAGCAGCUCGUGGCCACCUGCAAGCCAGGAAGAGUGAGGGGCCUCACCAGAAACCAACCCUGCUGGCACCUUGGUCUUGGACUUCCAGCCUCCAGAACUGUGAGGAAUAAACG